rnacentral:rRNA from 1 species
GAUUUCUGGACAUCAGAUUCUGGCCGGCCACGGUUUCGUGUGUUAGUGCUUGAAGCUUUGUCCAUCCUUCCAAUCGCUAUUGGCGGAUCUUCAUUGAUUCUGUCAGUAGUAUUGGAUCUUUUACUUUGAAAAAAUUAGAGUGUUUCAAGCAGGCUUUAUGCUAUGAAUACAUUAGCAUGGAAUAAUAAUUUAGGACUUCGGUUCUAUUUUGUUGGUUUCUAGGACUGAAGUAAUGAUUGAUAGGGAUAGUUGGGGGUGCUAGUAUUCAGCGGCCAGAGGUGAAAUUCUCGGAUUCGCUGAAGACUAACUUAUGCGAAAGCAUU